GUCAAAGAAGGACAGUAAGAUUACGUAAGAACAAUGAAAGAUGUUGGGAACUUGAGUUUACUUGCGUAAACAAACUUCUGAUCAUCAGUCCAGGUCUGGUGCCAGGACGCCAUGGCAGAACACUUCAUCUCCCUCCAAACUGGGCAGAGGAGCCCCCGUCCUCACCCUUGUUUGUUAUGACCAAGUAAGCCGACAAAAGCUCUCAGACUUUAACGUCCCUUUUCCAAAUGAACUGGAGUGAACUCGGCAACUGGGAGAGCAGAGCCAGAAUCUAAUAGAAUCAUAGCACUCUCUGAGAAGAUUCAUUUUCCUGGGAAUUAUCCAUCUGUGGCCAUGUCA